rfam:Nitrococcus mobilis Nb-231 1099646003873, whole genome shotgun sequence.
UGACCGGAAACGGAGUGUCUGAAGGAAGCAUGAGGCAGAACCCGUGUACGUAGCGAACAGCGAACCGGCUAUAUGGUGUUGGGGAUGAGGUCGAGCCGACGUGACUAGGCGAGGCCUGAUAUCCGGAGAACUGAACCGACAUGAAGCCGGACGGGAUACGGGGAGGUGGUGCGUCU